UGUUAAACAAAGUUUCCAAGUUGCUACAUAAUCGCAGGCACCGCUCUCAGAAAUAUUUAACCCUGCAGGGGUGCUCCAACUAGUCCAUCACAAACUACCACAAGCUAUGUGGAAUAACCUCAACAACGAAAGACCUGUAGUCUCCUCAGAAAUUCCGAUGGAAACGUCAACCUCGAGAUAGCCCAAAGUAUCCUCAGAAUCCCCCACAUAAGACGUUCGAGAAGGGUAAAACACAUCCAGCAAGACUGCCCAAUGUGGCGAUGACCCUCAUAAGAGCCACGUAUCUCAUUCUCAGGACACGCCGGAUAAGCUAAGCAUACGGCAACCUGACACAAAUCGCCCAAGUUGCCCCCGAGUGGUCCCGCACGAUGCUCUAGUUUGGACCAACACUCAUGAGGAGCACUUGCCCAGGGGUUGACUAAUUAUCCACGAGGUGAUCAAUGCCCUAUGCAAAUUUUUAUUAGUUGUUAUUAAGCAAUAGUACCAAUGUUGGGCCUUGCCGGAACAGUUUUGUCACAAAACUAAAAUCAAGUGGGUCCCCAUAACAACCCAAAAUAUGUUAGGAGCAUCCAAUAUGGAACUUAACACCGGUACACAAGUAACUAGGGCGGCAAAGGUCGAACAAAACAUCGAGCUAGAAGGACAAGCCUUCUAUCCUUUACCAAGUAUAUAGGUGCAUUAAAUUAAAUGGCAAUAAUAUGGUGAUAUAACAAGGAAUCCAUGUUGUCACAUGGAAAGCAAAUGCACCUGCAACUACCAACGCUAUAAGAAGGCUGAGCAAGCAGUAACAUAGACAAACAGGGGUUUGCUGGGAUCUGAAGGGGGGUUAAAGGCUUUUCAUGGCAAUGUUGGGAGGUUGGCAUUUAAGUGGUAGGUAACAAGACAUAAUGAUAGAAGCGAUAAAACUAGCAUCACAAUGAUAGUAGUGGUAUCUUGGGAAAUGAUCAUCUUGCAUGUGAUCCCGCUUGGAAGAAGAACGAAUCCAUGAAGUAGAUGAACUAACAUAGUCAAAUGAAUCCUCACACUCUGAAGCGGGUCGGAACUCUAUCGAGAAGAAAUAAUCUGAAAACAACAAUCAACACACGACAAACACCACAACAUAUGCAUGAAAAGCAGAACAAUUAAUUAUGCAUGAAAAGCAGAACAUGAUGCGCAAACAAAUAUGAUGCAUGUUGAAUUAAUUAUGCAU
rnacentral:lncRNA from 1 species